GCAGUCGCCGCGGGAAUACAGAGGGUGCAAGCGUUAAUCGGAAUUACUGGGCGUAAAGCGCGCGUAGGUGGUUUGUUAAGUUGGAUGUGAAAUCCCCGGGCUCAACCUGGGAACUGCAUCCAAAACUGGCAAGCUAGAGUAUGGUAGAGGGUGGUGGAAUUUCCUGUGUAGCGGUGAAAUGCGUAGAUAUAGGAAGGAACACCAGUGGCGAAGGCGACCACCUGGACUGAUACUGACACUGAGGUGCGAAAGCGUGGGGAGCAAACAGGAUUAGAUACCCCAGUAGUCCCUGUCUCUUAUAC
rnacentral:rRNA from 1 species